rnacentral:tRNA from 1 species
GCCCCAGUGGCGCAAUCGGUUAGCGCGCCGUACUUAUAAUGCGGAGGCUGUGAGUUCGAGCCUCACCUGGGGCA